GAAGCCUUGGUUGCUGCCGUUAAACUGACUAGCCUAGUCAUCAACACCAUCAGAGCUCUGAGAUGGAUGAAUUUUACCUGAGUAAGCAGAAGUGCAGACCAAGCAGCUCCUAAAUCUAUUAAAAAUGACAGAGACUUAAUGGCUACUGAGCUGGUAUUUUACAGGUCCACUCUUUCUUCAAGAAGUGUGCCAAAGCUAACCUGCAGGGGGCCUCCAGAUACGCCAGUCCCUGCACCAGCUUAGAGGACACCACCUGGGAUGGAUGGAGGCACUCCCCACCUCCAGGGAAACAGCAGAUGUGAUGACUCAGGCUUCCUACUGUGACUCCAAGGUUGUUGAACUUGCUGUUCUGAAAGAGAAGUAGGAAAUCAGUGAUAGCCAUCGCUUGGUUGAUCAGAGACAAUGGAGUAGAGUUUCUACAUCCCAAACUCAUGUCACCCUGGACAAAAUGAAGUUUUCACGCCCACUUCAUGCCUCAGUGGACAAAGACUCAACGUGACCAUUUCAUUAGUACCUCCUUCCCCACUUCUCAGUUGCCUAUCUUGACCUCUGUCUGGUAUUCCAGACUCAGGCUGUGCUUUCUUUUCACUACAGCUUGCUUAGACUUCCUUCUGGUCUCCCCUCAGAUCUUUGGGAAAGUGUUU